rnacentral:rRNA from 1 species
CCUACGGGAGGCAGCAGUGGGGAAUAUUGGACAAUGGGCGAAAGCCUGAUCCAGCAAUGCCGCGUGAGUGAUGAAGGCCUUAGGGUUGUAAAGCUCUUUUACCCGGGAUGAUAAUGACAGUACCGGGAGAAUAAGCCCCGGCUAACUCCGUGCCAGCAGCCGCGGUAAUACGGAGGGGGCUAGCGUUGUUCGGAAUUACUGGGCGUAAAGCGUGCGUAGGCGGUGAUUCAAGUCAGAGGUGAAAGCCUGGAGCUCAACUCCAGAACUGCCUUUGAAACUAGAGCGCUAGAAGAUGGGAGAGGUGAGUGGAAUUCCGAGUGUAGAGGUGAAAUUCGUAGAUAUUCGGAAGAACACCAGUGGCGGAGGCGGCUCACUGGACCAUUCUUGACGCUGAGGCACGAAAGCGUGGGGAGCAAACAGGAUUAGAUACCCUGGUAGUCCACGCUGUAAACGAUGAUAACUAGUUGUCAGGGUUCACAGAACUUUGGUGACGCAGCUAACGCAUUAAGUUAUCCGCCUGGGGAGUACGGUCGCAAGAUUAAAACUCAAAGGAAUUGACGG